rnacentral:rRNA from 1 species
CCUACGGGGGGCAGCAGUGAGGAAUCUUGGUCAAUGACCGGAAGGCUGAACCAGCACUGCCGCGUGAAGGUCAGUGCCCUAUGGGCGUUACACUUCUUUUGUGCGGGAGCAAUACUGGUCACGUGUGGCCAGACGAGAGUACCGUACGAAUAAACAUCGGCUAAGUCCGUGCCAGCGGCGGCGGUAUUACGGGGGAUCAGAGCUUUUUCCGGAGUUAUUGGGUGUAAAGGGAGCGUAGGUGGAUUGUUAAGUGUGUUGUGAAAGUUUGUGGCUCAACCGUAAAAUUGCAGUUGAAACUGGCAGUCUUGAGUACAGUAGAGGUGGGCGGAAUGCGUGGUGUAGCGGUGAAAUGCUUAGAUAUCACGAAGAACUCAGAUUGCGAAGGCAGCUCACUGGACUGCAACUGACACUGAGGCUCGAAAGUGUGGGUAUCAAACAGGAUUAGAUACCCCAGUAGUC